AGCGAACGCUGGCGGCAGGCCUAACACAUGCAAGUCGAACGAACUCUUCGGAGUUAGUGGCGGACGGGGGAGUAACACGUGGGAACGUGCCUUUAGGUUCGGAAUAACUCAUGGAAACUUGAGCUAAUACCGGAUGUGCUCUUCGGGGGAAAGAUUUAUCGCCUUUAGAGCGGCCCGCGUCUGAUUAGCCUGUUGGUGAGGUAAAGGCUCACCAAGGCGUCGAUCAGUAGCUGGUCAGAGAGGAUGAUCAGCCACAUUGGGAGUGAGACACGGCCCAAACUCCUACGGGAGGCGGCAGUGGGGAAUCUUGCGCAAUGGGCGAAAGCAUGACGCAGCCAUGCCGCGUGAAUGAUGAAGGUCUUAGGAAAGUAAAAUUCUUUCACCGGGGACGAUAAUGACGGUACCCGGAGAAGAAGCCCCGGCUAACUUCGUG
rnacentral:rRNA from 1 species